AUGGAAGGGGAUAACCCCGGGAAACUGGGGAUAAUACCCUAUAGACUAUAGUGGCUGGAAUGCACGUAGUCGAAAGGUCCGCCGCCAUAGGAUGGGUCUGCGGCCGAUUAGGUUGUUGUUGGGGUAACGGCCCAACAAGCCUGUAUCGGUACGGGUUGUGGGAGCAAGAGCCCGGAGAUGGAUUCUGAGACACGAAUCCAGGCCCUACGGGGCGCAGCAGGCGCGAAAACUUUACAAUGCGGGAAACCGUGAUAGGGGAACUCCGAGUGCCCGUAAAAUCGGGCUGUCCAUCAGUUUAAAUAACUGGUGAAGAAAGGGCCGGGCAAGACCGGUGCCAGCCGCCGCGGUAAUACCGGCGGCUCGAGUGGUGGCCACUAUUACUGGGCUUAAAGCGUUCGUAGCUGGUUUGUUAAGUCUCUGGGGAAAUCUUCCGGCUCAACCGGAAGGCGUCUCAGGGAUACUGGCAGACUAGGGACCGGGAGAGGUGAGGGGUACUCCAGGGGUAGGAGUGAAAUCCUGUAAUCCUUGGGGGACCACCUGUGGCGAAGGCGCCUCACCAGAACGGCUCCGACAGUGAGGGACGAAAGCUGGGGGAGCAAACCGGAUUAGAUACCCGGGUAGUCCCAGCUGUAAACGAUGCGCGUUAGGUGUAUCAGUGACCACGAGUCACUGAGGUGCCGAAGAGAAAUCGUGAAACGUGCCGCCUGGGAAGUACGGUCGCAAGGCUGAAACUUAAAGGAAUUGGCGGGGGAGCACCACAACAGGUGGAGCCUGCGGUUUAAUCGGACUCAACGCCGGGAAACUCACCAGUUAAGACAGCUGAAUGAUAGUCGGGCUGAAGACUCUACUUGACUAGCUGAGAGGAGGUGCAUGGCCGUCGUCAGUUCGUACUGUGAAGCAUCCUGUUAAGUCAGGCAACGAGCGAGACCCA
rnacentral:rRNA from 1 species